UAAUCACAAAUCCUUCAAUGUAAUCAAACGUAUUUUCUGCAGCCGAUAUUAGUUUUUCCUGGUCUCUUGCAAAUGUGGAAAAAUCUGAGUACAGCACUCUAAUCCAUUUUACCUGUUCAAAAUGGAGAAUUGUUACAACAGCAAUAUUCUUGCUCGGGUUAUAAUGCCGAACUGGCCAAGUCCUCCAAGAACACCGUGAAAGAGAUCACUGUUCUGCUUCUCUGAACAAGUUACAACCUCCCCUUUUCCUGCACAUAAUUUGUUCCACCUUUCAGUCGAGUAAAGACCACUGGCCACCUGCAAUUUCGGUAUCAUACGAUUCUUGAACCAGACAAAAUAAAGCAUUUUUCUGGACGAACCUGUUACAACCUCCAGCUGGUGGACAUUACUGAUCUGAGGGCCGUGCCGAAAUGCC